rnacentral:rRNA from 1 species
ACGAACGCUGGCGGCGUGCCUAAUACAUGCAAGUCGAACGCUUCUUUUUCCACCGGAGCUUGCUCCACCGGAAAAAGAGGAGUGGCGAACGGGUGAGUAACACGUGGGUAACCUGCCCAUCAGAAGGGGAUAACACUUGGAAACAGGUGCUAAUACCGUAUAACAAUCGAAACCGCAUGGUUUUGAUUUGAAAGGCGCUUUCGGGUGUCGCUGAUGGAUGGACCCGCGGUGCAUUAGCUAGUUGGUGAGGUAACGGCUCACCAAGGCGACGAUGCAUAGCCGACCUGAGAGGGUGAUCGGCCACAUUGGGACUGAGACACGGCCCAAACUCCUACGAGAGGCAGCAGUAGGGAAUCUUCGGCAAUGGACGAAAGUCUGACCGAGCAACGCCGCGUGAGUGAAGAAGGUUUUCGGAUCGUAAAACUCUGUUGUUAGAGAAGAACAAGGAUGAGAGUAACUGUUCAUCCCUUGACGGUAUCUAACCAGAAAGCCACGGCUAACUACGUGCCAGCAGCCGCGGUAAUACGUAGGUGGCAAGCGUUGUCCGGAUUUAUUGGGCGUAAAGCGAGCGCAGGCGGUUUCUUAAGUCUGAUGUGAAAGCCCCCGGCUCAACCGGGGAGGGUCAUUGGAAACUGGGAGACUUGAGUGCAGAAGAGGAGAGUGGAAUUCCAUGUGUAGCGGUGAAAUGCGUAGAUAUAUGGAGGAACACCAGUGGCUAAGGAGGCUCUCUGGUCUGUAACUGACGCUGAGGCUCGAAAGCGUGGGGAGCAAACAGGAUUAGAUACCCUGGUAGUCCACGCCGUAAACGAUGAGUGCUAAGUGUUGGAGGGUUUCCGCCCUUCAGUGCUGCAGCUAACGCAUUAAGCACUCCGCCUGGGGAGUACGACCGCAAGGUUGAAACUCAAAGGAAUUGACGGGGGCCCGCACAAGCGGUGGAGCAUGUGGUUUAAUUCGAAGCAACGCGAAGAACCUUACCAGGUCUUGACAUCCUUUGACCACUCUAGAGAUAGAGCUUCCCCUUCGGGGGCAAAGUGACAGGUGGUGCAUGGUUGUCGUCAGCUCGUGUCGUGAGAUGUUGGGUUAAGUCCCGCAACGAGCGCAACCCUUAUUGUUAGUUGCCAUCAUUUAGUUGGGCACUCUAGCAAGACUGCCGGUGACAAACCGGAGGAAGGUGGGGAUGACGUCAAAUCAUCAUGCCCCUUAUGACCUGGGCUACACACGUGCUACAAUGGGAAGUACAACGAGUCGCAAAGUCGCGAGGCUAAGCUAAUCUCUUAAAGCUUCUCUCAGUUCGGAUUGUAGGCUGCAACUCGCCUACAUGAAGCCGGAAUCGCUAGUAAUCGCGGAUCAGCAUGCCGCGGUGAAUACGUUCCCGGGCCUUGUACACACCGCCCGUCACACCACGAGAGUUUGUAACACCCGAAGUCGGUGAGGUAACCUUUUGGAGCCAGCCGCCUAAGGUGGGAUAGAUGAUUGGGGUG